AGUGAACGCUGGCGGUAGGCCUAACACAUGCAAGUCGAACGGCAGCACAGGAGAGCUUGCUCUCUGGGUGGCGAGUGGCGGACGGGUGAGGAAUACAUCGGAAUCUACUUUUUCGUGGGGGAUAACGUAGGGAAACUUACGCUAAUACCGCAUACGACCUACGGGUGAAAGCAGGGGAUCUUCGGACCUUGCGCGAUUGAAUGAGCCGAUGUCGGAUUAGCUAGUUGGCGGGGUAAAGGCCCACCAAGGCGAAGAUCCGUAGCUGGUCUGAGAGGAAGAUCAGCCACACUGGAACGGAGACACGGUCCAGACUCCUACGGGAGGCAGCAGUGGGGAAUAUUGGACAAUGGGCGCAAGCCUGAUCCAGCCAUACCGCGUGGGUGAAGAAGGCCUUCGGGUUGUAAAGCCCUUUUGUUGGGAAAGAAAUCCAGCUGGUUAAUACCCGGUUGAGAUGACGGUACCCAAAGAAUAAGCACCGGCUAACUUCGUGCCAGCAGCCGCCGUAA
rnacentral:rRNA from 1 species